rnacentral:lncRNA from 1 species
UAUGGGGUUUUCUAGACAUAAACUUAUGUCACAAAGACUCAAUGAAAAAUUUCAAUGAGUCUCUUCAAAAAUGUAUAGGUUCUCCCGGCCCCUAUAAAAAGGGGAUAUAAAAAUAUAAAUGGCUUUCCAUUUGCUUGGUAGAUCUUCCUCCAUCCCUUUAUUUUGAGCCUAUGUGUGUCCCUGCAGGUGAGAUGGGUUUACUGAAAAUGAUGAGUUAAUGGGUGCAGCACACCAACAUGGCAUAUGUAUACAUAUGUAACAAACCUGCACGUUGUGCACAUGUACCCUAAAACUUAAAGUAUAAUAAUAAUAAAAUUAAAAAUAUAUAUAUAUAUAAAUUGCAAAAAGAGAUAUACAAAAUUUCUACUGUUUGUAAAUAGAAACA